GUAGGGGCCAAACGUUGUCCGGAUUUAUUGGGCGUAAAGGGCUCGUAGGCGGUUCAACAAGUCGAUCGUGAAAACCCGGGGCUCAACCCCGGGACGCCGGUCGAAACUGUUGUGACUAGGGUCCGGUAGAGGUGAGUGGAAUUCUCGGUGUAGCGGUGGAAUGCGCAGAUAUCGAGAGGAACACCAGUUGCGAAGGCUGCUCACUGGGCCGGUACCGACGCUAAGGAGCGAAAGCAUGGGGAGCAAACAGGAUUAGAUACCCUGGGUAGUCCAUGCCGUAAACUGUGAACACUAGGUGUGGCGGAUCUAUUGAUGUCUGCCGUACCCCGUAGCUAACGCGUUAAGUGUUCCGCCUGGGGAGUACGGCCGCAAGGCUA
rnacentral:rRNA from 1 species